rnacentral:misc_RNA from 1 species
CAGGACUCGCAAGACUCCCGUAAACCACUGUGAACUCACCUACAACCCGUUGCCUCGGCGGGUGCUCCGGGCGCGUCUUCGGGCGCUCCGGGGCGCUCCAGCCCGCCGGCGGCCCCUAAACUCUGUCUCUGUAACGUUGGCAUCUCCGAGCAGACUAUAAACGAGUCA